rnacentral:rRNA from 1 species
UACGUAGGGGGCAAGCGUUGUCCGGAAUUAUUGGGCGUAAAGAGCGUGUAGGCGGUCCGGUAAGUCAGCUGUGAAAAGUCAAGGGCUCAACCCUUGAAUGCCGGUUGAUACUGUCGGGCUAGAGUCCGGAAGAGGCGAGUGGAAUUCCCGGUGUAGCGGUGAAAUGCGCAGAUAUCGGGAGGAACACCAAUGGCGAAGGCAGCUCGCUGGGACGGUACCGACGCUGAGGCACGAAAGCGUGGGGAGCAAACAGG